CUCUUUCGGGAGGCAGCAGUGGGGAAUAUUGCACAAUGGGCGCAAGCCUGAUGCAGCAACGCCGCGUGCGGGAUGACGGCCUUCGGGUUGUAAACCGCUUUCAUCCAUGACGAAGCGCAAGUGACGGUAGUGGGAGAAGAAGCACCGGCUAAAUACGUGCCAGCAGCCGCGGUGAUACGUAGGGUGCGAGCGUUGUCCGGAAUUAUUGGGCGUAAAGAGCUUGUAGGCGGUUGAUCACGUCGGAAGUGAAAUUCCAGGGCUUAACUCUGGGCUUGCUUUCGAUACGGGUUGACUUGAGGAAUGUAGGGGAGAAUGGAACUUUCGGUGGAGCGGUGGAAUGCGCAGAUAUCGGGAAGAACACCAGUGGCGAAGGCGGUUCUCUGGACAUUUCCUGACGCUGAGAAGCGAAAGCGUGGGGAGCAAACAGGCUUAGAUACCCCGGUAGUCCACGCCGUAAACGGUGGGUACUAGGUGUGGGUCCCUUCCACGGGGUCCGUGCCG
rnacentral:rRNA from 1 species